rnacentral:rRNA from 1 species
AGUGAACGCUGGCGGUAGGCCUAACACAUGCAAGUCGAACGGCAGCACAGUAAGAGCUUGCUCUUACGGGUGGCGAGUGGCGGACGGGUGAGGAAUACAUCGGAAUCUACUUUUUCGUGGGGGAUAACGUAGGGAAACUUACGCUAAUACCUCAUACGACCUACGGGUGAAAGCAGGGGAUCUUCGGACCUUGCGCGAGUGAAUGAGCCGAUGUCGGAUUAGCUAGUUGGCGGGGUAAAGGCCCACCAAGGCGACGAUCCGUAGCUGGUCUGAGAGGAUGAUCAGCCACACUGGAACUGAGACACGGUCCAGACUCCUACGGGAGGCAGCAGUGGGGAAUAUUGGACAAUGGGCGCAAGCCUGAUCCAGCCAUACCGCGUGGGUGAAGAAGGCCUUCGGGUUGUAAAGCCCUUUUGUUGGGAAAGAAAAGCAGCAGGUUAAUACCCCGCUGUUCUGACGGUACCCAAAGAAUAAGCACCGGCUAACUUCGUG